rnacentral:tRNA from 1 species
GCCCGACGAUCGCCGGGGUGCGGCUCGCGCGCGACGAGCCCGGCCGCUUCGAGGCGGUCGACGGUGUUCGUCACGCUCGUCGGGUGC